rnacentral:rRNA from 1 species
GUAGGGUGCGAGCGUUAAUCGGAAUUACUGGGGCGUAAAGCGUGCGCAGGCGGUUGGGCAAGACCGAUGUGAAAGCCCCCGGGGCUUAACCUGGGGAAUGGCAUUGGUGACUGCUCGGCUAGAGUGUGUCAGAGGGAGGUAGAAUUCCACGUGUAGCAGUGAAAUGCGUAGAGAUGUGGAGGAAUACCGAUGGCGAAGGCAGCCUCCUGGGAUAACACUGACGCUCAUGCACGAAAGCGUGGGGAGCAAACAGGAUUAGAUAUCCUGGUAGUCCACGCCCUAAACGAUGUCAACUAGUUGUCGGGGAUUAAUUUCCUUGGUAACGCAGCUAACGCGUGAAGUUGACCGCCUGGGGAGUACGGUCGCAAAGAUUA